UACGGAGGGUGCAAGCGUUGUCCGGAAUCACUGGGCGUAAAGGGCGCGUAGGCGGCUCAUGAAGGCUGUGGUGAAAGUCCGGGGCUCAACCUCGGAUCGGCCGUGGCGACUCGUGGGCUGGAGCACUGUAGAGGCGGGUGGAAUUCCGGGUGUAGCGGUGGAAUGCGUAGAGAUCCGGAAGAACACCAGUGGCGAAGGCGGCCCGCUGGGCAGUGGCUGACGCUGAGGCGCGAAAGCGUGGGUAGCAAACAGG
rnacentral:rRNA from 1 species